AUACAGAGGGUGCGAGCGUUAAUCGGAAUUACUGGGCGUAAAGCGCGCGUAGGCGGUUGAUUAAGUCAGAUGUGAAAUCCCAGGGCUCAACCUUGGAACUGCAUCUGAUACUGGUCAGCUAGAGUUUAGGAGAGGGAAGUAGAAUUUCAGGUGUAGCGGUGAAAUGCAUAGAUAUCUGAAGGAAUACCAGUGGCGAAGGCGGCUUCCUGGCCUAAAACUGACGCUGAGGUGCGAAAGCGUGGGUAGCAAACGGGAUUAGAUACCCCUGUAGUCC
rnacentral:rRNA from 1 species